AGUGAACGCUGGCGGUAGGCCUAACACAUGCAAGUCGAACGGCAGCACAGUAAGAGCUUGCUCUUACGGGUGGCGAGUGGCGGACGGGUGAGGAAUACAUCGGAAUCUACUUUUUCGUGGGGGAUAACGUAGGGAAACUUACGCUAAUACCGCAUACGACCUACGGGUGAAAGCAGGGGAUCUUCGGACCUUGCGCGAUUGAAUGAGCCGAUGUCGGAUUAGCUAGUUGGCGGGGUAAAGGCCCACCAAGGCGACGAUCCAUAGCUGGUCUGAGAGGAUGAUCAGCCACACUGGAACUGAGACACGGUCCAGACUCCUACGGGAGGCAGCAGUGGGGAAUAUUGGACAAUGGGCGCAAGCCUGAUCCAGCCAUACCGCGUGGGUGAAGAAGGCCUUCGGGUUGUAAAGCCCUUUUGUUGGGAAAGAAAAGCAGCAGGUUAAUACCCCGCUGUUCUGACGGUACCCAAAGAAUAAGCACCGGCGAACUUCGU
rnacentral:rRNA from 1 species